GUACUAACGCUGAUAAAGAAACAGAUCAAAGAAUCACUCAAAACCAUUUAGUAUCAAGUUCAAAGAAAAUCACUUUAUCCAUUGAUGAGGAAGCCUAUCAUAGAUUCAUACAAACAGAAAAUAAUAUUAAGAGUUCAAUGUUGCCCCCUCCUCUAUUAUCAAAAUAUCAUUAAAUUUCCUUCUUAUUACGCGAGAAAAAUGAUUAAUGCGUUUAAAAAAAAAAUCCUAAAUCAGUUGGAGGCUAUUUUUAUUAAAACUAUCAAACUAAUAAAAAUACUGGAAAUACUGAAAACGAAAAAAAAAUAAACAACUUAAAAUCGCCCCAGCCUUAGAGCAAACAUCAACCCCACAUAUACCUGGGGCCAUGAAUGACACUGCUAUAUACGAGUAGACAUUGUAAACUAAAUGAAAAAUUAACACUUCAUCCUGGGAGUCAACUCCACUCGGCAUAGACACACUGAUAGUUGCAUUUGUAUACAGGCAUCGUAAAAUGUCACCAAUUUGCUAGAAAGGUCGUUUGGCAUUAGUUCCAGUUGCACCCCCAACUUUCUCGCUCGCUCUCCCUAUCUCACUCUCUUGCGUUUUGCUCUUGCUGUUGCUCUCCCUGUCUCUUAUAUUGCCAAGGGGUUGCUUUUGCCUAGUUGCUGCUGUUUUUUUCUGCAACAGACGACGACACACAUAUUUGACUUUCUGGUGCGGUUGAACUCGUUUUACACGAAACAUAUGCAUGUACUCAAUUCAUCGGGGACACAACCAGGCACUAAAAAGCUCUAUCAAAAAAUUGAACAUGCGCCUUUCCACGAAACUCUCUUAUAUUUUUCAAAAAAUCAAAGCUUUUCUUUCAAUGAAAAAUUGGAACUCUUAUACUGGCGCCGGGGAGACGACCACACAAUAUUCAGAGUUCCGAGAUAGAAAAUGUAGAAUGAAAAAUUUUUUUAAACGUUCAAAAGCAGCUCUUGGUGUUGUAGUGUUUUCAGUUAUCCAGUCAGUUGCUGUGCAGCCUGCACCCUGCCAAAACCAGGACGACAGGUUGAGACACAAAAAAGCUAUACAUUCCGAGGGUUUCCAUAUUUUUUCAAGGAGAAAAAUAACAACCGAACUGAAUUGAACAACCGAAGGAAAGAGAAAGAGGAACAUGAUAAAAGUGCGCCCGCGCCCUUACCACAAAACAGCACACAUUUCAGCCCUCAUUUCACCGGCAACGUUCCACGGCACACACAAUGUGUUCUCGGUCGUUGUAGCUGCUGCUGCUGCUUCUACUGUUUCUGCUGUUCCUGCUGCUUCUGCUGGUACUUGUGCUGGAAUUUUGUGGCCUCUUAUCGCCCCAGGCUGGAGUUCAUUCAAAUAGAACCGCACAGCUGAGUUUUCAUUUAGUCGGUCGCAAGUUCUCGGAGUGAGUUGAACGUCGCUCGCAUACCACCAGGAAUAUAAAUUCCAUCAAAUAUCCUCCUCCUGGUAUAAUUUUCUUCAAAAAAAAAAAAACAAAAUCCAAAAAAAUAUAAAGAAAAAAAUAGGACUUGUGAAUCUUUGAACAGUGUUUGUUCUUCUUCCCAGCUAGUGAAAUGGAGGAUAAAAAAAAAAAAAUUAUAAAAGAACUCUCAGAACUCAGAACAAAAGGAUAGACGAACAAAAAAAAGGAAAGAUUCUGGAGAACCACUAGAGUCAUCAGCAUAAUCCUUCAGUUGAUCUGACUCCGCAAGAGACUUUCAUCACCGCAUACAGCAAGGUAUAGCGCACCGGGGAGCACUAGUGAUAUGUUUUUGAGGAUGACAUGUCACAAGGACCUUCUUCGUUUUUAUAUUUUUUGUGUGUGUCCCUGUCAUCAUGGGUUAAGUAGUCGAAGCUGCUUCUAGUGUGGUUGGCUUUGAAACUGCAAAGUGGGAGCUAAAUAAAAUCCCCAUCAUGGGCUGAGAGAUGUAGAGCCAAACAUCCCCCUCGCAUAUCGCAUAAAGGUGGGCAUGACUGCGUGUAAAAUUACAAGGAUCACAGAGAUAGAUUUUUCCAUCUGUCUUCAAAGAGCCCAGGUCUCACCGAGGACGAAGAGAAACUGUGACAUAACUAUUAAACUAGUCCCCGUUGUGUGCCAUAAACUUCAUGACGACAACCAACGAACAAAACCCUAGACUCUUCGACCCGAAUCCAACAAACCCAACAUCGCCAUAGCCAUACCCAACGCCAAUGAGACUUUUACCCAACCAACACUGAAUUAAUGUUAAUUACUUUCAAUUAAAAAAGUUCCUCACGAGACGUUGUUCGUUUUAUUAUACACACACUCACAUACAUUUAUGCGAUCUAUGACCAUUUUUUUUGUAUUCUUGUGUGUUUAACUGUAAAGUGUUAAAGUUUAAGUGUUCGUGCUGAGUUCAAACUUUCUCCUAUAUAAUAUACCAACUCCUUAAUUUUUUAUAUGCCGAACUAUGGAACUAUAAAGUUCUAUUUUUUUUGUAAAAAAGAAGAGAAAAAAAAAAGACGAAAUCAUCGGCAGUUUUUCUUGCUAGAAAUAUUAAUGAGUCGGGUUUAUUUUGUGAAAUUUAUGGACCGAAAGUGCAGUAAACGAGUAAUUUUUGUUUUUUUUUUCUGUUCAAAAAGAAGACGAAAUUUUCUCAAAGAAGGAAAAUAAAUUCUUCAAUUGAUUAACGUAGAUUUUUAUCAAUUUUUUUUUUAUUGGAGAUGAAGUUGAAAUCUUUGUGUAACAAGAGAAGACGAGAGAGAGAUUUUUGUUGGCGAAGUUUAGUACUGAGAAAAAUGUUAUAUCCGUAAAUCCUUCCUAUUUUUUUGGUUGGUCUUUUUUUUUUUUGUUGGAAAAUGACACUAAGUGAAAAAGUUUGUUUUACUGCGCCAAGUGCAAUUGAGAGACAGAAAACUAUGUUUGGUCGAUUGAUCCGGGCAAAGAUGAAAAUCGAGGUAAGUUGCUGACUAAAUUUCUAUAACCUCUAAACCUGAGUAAGUAA